GGGCCAAUUCUAAGACUGUUGGAAUUCAGGAUUUGGUGCAUGCAUAUGUGUUUCAAAAAUUUUAUUUUCUAAACACCGUAGUGAAAAAUAAGUUUAAAAUAUUUUUAAUCUAAAUUAUACAUGUAUAAAAAUAUAAAAUCAUAUGGAUCUAUCUCAUAUGCUGAUAUUGAUAUCUGCUGAAAUUCAGAUUGUGAUCAAAUCACAUACAUGUUUC
rnacentral:lncRNA from 1 species